AGAGUUUGAUCCUGGCUCAGGACGAACGCUGGCGGCACGCUUAACACAUGCAAGUCGAACGAGAGAAGAGAAGCUUGCUUUUCUGAUCUAGUGGCGGACGGGUGAGUAACACGUGAGCAAUCUGCCUUUCAGAGGGGGAUACCGAUUGGAAACGAUCGUUAAUACCGCAUAACAUAAUUGAACCGCAUGAUUUGAUUAUCAAAGAUUUAUCGCUGAAAGAUGAGCUCGCGUCUGAUUAGCUAGUUGGUAAGGUAACGGCUUACCAAGGCGACGAUCAGUAGCCGACCUGAGAGGGUGACCGGCCACAUUGGGACUGAGACACGGCCCAGACUCCUACGGGAGGCAGCAGUGGGGAAUAUUGCACAAUGGGGGAAACCCUGAUGCAGCAACGCCGCGUGAAGGAUGACGGUUUUCGGAUUGUAAACUUCUUUUCUUAGUGACGAAGACAGUGACGGUAGCUAAGGAAUAAGCAUCGGCUAACUACGUGCCAGCAGCCGCGGUAAUACGUAGGAUGCAAGCGUUAUCCGGAUUUACUGGGUGUAAAGGGAGCGCAGGCGGGACUGCAAGUUGGAUGUGAAAUACCGUGGCUUAACCACGGAACUGCAUCCAAAACUGUAGUUCUUGAGUGAAGUAGAGGCAAGCGGAAUUCCGAGUGUAGCGGUGAAAUGCGUAGAUAUUCGGAGGAACACCAGUGGCGAAGGCGGCUUGCUGGGCUUUAACUGACGCUGAGGCUCGAAAGUGUGGGGAGCAAACAGGAUUAGAUACCCUGGUAGUCCACACUGUAAACGAUGAUAGCUAGGUGUGGGGGGUCUGACCCCUUCCGUGCCGGAGUUAACGCAAUAAGCUAUCCACCUGGGGAGUACGACCGCAAGGUUGAAACUCAAAGGAAUUGACGGGGGCC
rnacentral:rRNA from 1 species